GGUUCGCGUCUCUCUGCUGCGGCGCGGGGACCGCUGUGCUCUCGGAAUCUUGUCGAUUGGCCUGGCUGCUGCCUACUACAGCGGAGAUAGCCUGGGCUGGAAGCUCUUCUACGUCACAGGCUGCCUGUUUGUGGCUGUGCAGAACUUGGAGGACUGGGAGCCGUCUUCGACAAGAGCACAGGGAAGGUUGUUUUGAAGACGUUCAGCCUCUACAAGAAGCUGCUGACUCUUUUCAGAGCUGGCCACGACCAGGGUGAGUUGUGGGGAGCGUGGGGACAUGGGACACAGUGGGCCACAGAGGCGGCACACUUGGGCGUCUGGGUCUGGGUGACCCAUGGGGCCUAGAGGGGGGCCUGGAAGCGCCUUUAGUCCAAGCUCGCCUGCUUGGUGACCAGGGUUGUGUCCUGCCCGCUGGACGCAGGAUCCCAUGGAUACGCCCCACCUGCUCACCUGCUCAGCGGGGUCCUAGAGCCUCCUGGGUUCUUUAGAGGUUUGGCCCCUGGGGAGAGUGGGAGGAACAGGGGUCUGGAGGAGCAAGGGUCUGGCAGAGCAGGG
rnacentral:sRNA from 1 species